ensembl:lncRNA novel transcript
GCGCCAGCCCCGGCCGCGCGCCCCGCGCCGCCUUUGUUCGCAGCCUGGGCCCCGCCGCCAGCCGCUGCUCGGAGGGAGCGAGCGAGAAAGGGGAGCCGGCGCAGCUCGCUGCCCUGUUCCAGAACUCAGAAUUUGAGAGGCGAGAGUUCGGUAAGCCGUGCGACCAGACGACCGAGGACGCGCGCAGAGAAACCCCCGCCGUCCGAGGAGAGGCGUCCUGGGGUUCCGUCCCAAGGUGGAGGUCCCCCCGAGCGGUUGCUGAUUGAAAGGGGAGUGUGGAAGCGCCCUGAGGAAACACCCGCCUGCCUUGAAAACUCCCCGUUCCUUAUUCUUGUAAUAAGGAAUAAGACACCCCACCCCCAUCGAAAACUUGUCCCUUAUUCAUAGAAUAAAUAAAACUUGAACCAGAAUAAACGAUCAGUAACUUUCCAGCGUGAACAGCUGGCGUGUCUC